UGGUGAAUUUUGGACAAUGGGGGAAACCCUGAUCCAGCCAUCCCGCGUGUGCGAUGAAGGCCUUCGGGUUGUAAAGCACUUUUGGCAGGAAAGAAACGUCGCGGGUUAAUACCCCGCGAAACUGACGGUACCUGCAGAAUAAGCACCGGCUAACUACGUGCCAGCAGCCGCGGUAAUACGUAGGGUGCAAGCGUUAAUCGGAAUUACUGGGCGUAAAGCGUGCGCAGGCGGUUCGGAAAGAAAGAUGUGAAAUCCCAGAGCUUAACUUUGGAACUGCAUUUUUAACUACUGGGCUAGAGUGUGUCAGAGGGAGGUGGAAUUCCGCGUGUAGCAGUGAAAUGCGUAGAUAUGCGGAGGAACACCGAUGGCGAAGGCAGCCUCCUGGGAUAACACUGACGCUCAUGCACGAAAGCGUGGGGAGCAAACAGGAUUAGAUACCCUGGUAGUCCACGCCCUAAACGAUGUCAACUAGCUGUUGGGGGCCUUCGGGCCUUGGUAGCGCAGCUAACGCGUGAAGUUGACCGCCUGGGGAGUACGGUCGCAAGAUUAAAACUUAAAUGAAUUGACGGGGGUCAUAGCUGUUUCCUG
rnacentral:rRNA from 1 species